rnacentral:tRNA from 2 species
GGGCAGGUAGCUCAGUUGGUAGAGCACGGGACUGAAAAUCCCGGUGUGGUCGGUUCGAUUCCGACCCUGCCCACCA